CACCGGUUUAAACUCAGAUCAUGUAAAAUUUCAAAGGUCGAACAGACCUAAUUUAUCAGCUUCUUCACCAAUAAUUUUUUUUAAUCCAACAUCGAGGUCGCAAUCUUUUUUUUUGAUAAGAACUCUAAAAAAAAUAACGCUGUUAUCCCUAAGGUAAUUUUAUCUUACAAUCUAUAUUUUAGGAUCAAUAAUUCAUAAAUAAAUGAAUUUAUAAAGAAAAAGUUUAUUUAAUUUU
rnacentral:rRNA from 1 species